UUCUUUACAUUGAGAAAAAUAUAUUACAUGAUUCACUAUCAAUGACUCUUUAUCAUUAUCAAGGACUCAACAUUCGAGUUUGAAAGGAGACGUAACAGGCCUGAAAGAUAUGAUAGAAAUGUUACAGAGAUGACACUGAAGGCUAUAAAGAAGAUUGACAAAAUCAGAGUGGAUAGGGAGGUUAGACACCACAAAAUGAGGAUGAAGGGUAAAAAGGCAUUUGAGCAGCAGGCAGCAAUUAAGGAGUUGGAGAACAGUAUUGAUUUGGUCAAAGCACCUGUUGCCCUGCAGCAGGAUUCACAAUUUACUCUUGCAAAGAUUAAAGUCAAGGUUUCUCAAUCACAGCCUGAGGGAGAGCGCAUGGAAGAAUAAUGCAUUGCUGAAUCUUAGGAGUCUUGUUGAGUUUUGUUUUGUGUUUUUGUGUGCUCGACUGCUUGUCAUGGUUAAUAUGUGAUUCCUUGAAUAUUCUUAUGUGAAAAAUGGAUACUUUGCUAUUAUUAGCUGAAAUAGUAUCCAAAAAUUUUUUGUG